rnacentral:rRNA from 1 species
AUAUUGCACAAUGGAGGAAACUCUGAUGCAGCGACGCCGCGUGAGUGAAGAAGUUCUUAGGAUCGUAAAACUCUGUCCUUGGUGAAGAUAUUGACGGUAGCCAAGGAGGAAGCCCCGGCUCACUACGUGCCAUCAGCCGCGGUAAUACGUAGGGGGCUAGCGUUGUCCGGAUUUACUGGGCUUAAAGGGUGAGUAGGCGGUUAUGUAUGUCAGAGGUAAAAGGCGUGGGCUUAACUUACGUUAGCAUUUGAAACUGCAUAACUUGAGUGCAGGAGAGGUAAGUGGAAUUCCUAGUGUAGCGGUGAAAUGCGUAGAUAUUAGGAGGAACACCAGUGGCGAAGGCGACUUACUGGACCGUAACUGACGCUGAGUCACGAAAGCGUGGGUAGCAAACAGG